rnacentral:rRNA from 1 species
CACGUAGGGGGCAAGCGUUGUCCGGAUUUAUUGGGCGUAAAGAGCUCGUAGGCGGCUUAGUAAGUCGGGUGUGAAACCUCCAGGCUCAACCUGGAGACGCCACUCGAUACUGCCGUGGCUAGAGUCCGGUAGAGGAGCGUAGAAUUCCUGGUGUAGCGGUGAAAUGCGCAGAUAUCAGGAGGAAUACCAGCGGCGAAGGCGGCGCUCUGGGCCGGAACUGACGCUGAGGAGCGAAAGCGUGGGGAGCAAACAGG